AGACGCUGUCCCGCAGCCCUGAGGGCUGAGUUCUGCACCCAGUCAAGCUCAGGAAGGCCAAGGAAAGAAUCCAUUCCAAUAUAUGGCCAUGUGGCUCUUUGGAGCAGUGUUCCAUCAUGUUCCACGAUGGUGACAUCAUACAGAGCACAGAAAUCAAUGUUAGCAGAUAACCAGCCCAUAUAAAAUCGAGUAAGUAAAGUUUUAAAAAUUGUAUCAUGCAAUAUAGAUACUUUUAUGUAAUAGCAUA
rnacentral:lncRNA from 1 species